rnacentral:rRNA from 1 species
AGUGAACGCUGGCGGUAGGCCUAACACAUGCAAGUCGAACGGCAGCACAGUAAGAGCUUGCUCUUACGGGUGGCGAGUGGCGGACGGGUGAGGAAUACAUCGGAAUCUACUUUUUCGUGGGGGAUAACGUAGGGAAACUUACGCUAAUACCGCAUACGACCUACGGGUGAAAGCAGGGGAUCUUCGGACCUUGCGCGAUUGAAUGAGCCGAUGUCGGAUUAGCUAGUUGGCGGGGUAAAGGCCCACCAAGGCGACGAUCCGUAGCUGGUCUGAGAGGAUGGUCAGCCACACUGGAACUGAGACACGGUCCAGACUCCUACGGGAGGCAGCAGUGGGGAAUAUUGGACAAAGGGCGCAAGCCUGAUCCAGCCAUACCGCGUGGGUGAAGAAGGCCUUCGGGUUGUAAAGCCCUUUUGUUGGGAAAGAAAAGCAGCUGGUUAAUACCCCGCUGUUCUGACGGUACCCAAAGAAUAAGCACCGGCUAACUUCGUG